rnacentral:lncRNA from 1 species
GUGCAAGUUCAUCACAUCUGCUGAUGCUAAUGGAUGUCACAUGUUCCUGCUGGCAACAAGGCCACGGAGUUACACAAAUCCCCUUACACUCAAGCCAAGCUGGAAGUGGCUCCUUUCAGAAUAAUGGAUUAUGUGGAUCAGAAAGAGCGCCAGUCAACGGAGGGUCUUGCACAGGAGAGAGUCGCACUGGAUUGGGAGAGAGAGCUGCACAGUGUGAGAGCUGUGGGAAGCAGCGUGUUGUGAGCCUGGAAACAUCACCGGGAGCUUUCCAGCCGGGGUCUUCCCCAUCCACAGACUGGUCCCUGUCAUCCAGGAUGGGGAGUCAGCAGUGUGUGAUGUGCUUAGUGAGGACAGUGCGGGACAGCAGCGACUCCCCCUGCCCACCCAUACAGCACCUCGUACCGUGCCUGGAGCUCUCCACGAUGCCCCUGCGCUGCCAUCAUGGAGAGAAGGGGGAUAACAGUCUCCACCAGGGUACUACCCAAGGACAGACAACUGUUCAGCAUUUAUCAUGA